rnacentral:lncRNA from 1 species
GAAUAAACAAUUUUGUCAGCUAUAAUUGACCUGAAUAACGAAACUAUCGAUUGGAAAUUACUCUCUAGGAAAAGCCAUAGGAUUUUUUUUUAUUUGAAUAAGUAAAAAAAAUGUCAUUAUAAUAAUAAAAGACUGUGACAUACAAAUAUAUCGAUCUGAUACUAGAAUAUCGAUCCCCAUGCCAUAUUCACCCAGAUUUAUUUUAGCUUUACCAAGCUAAGCAAGAGUUGUGUCCAUUAGAUUGUCAACUUUUGGUGUUCGUUUGAGUCGAACAAUGUGUAUCUCGAAAUAUUUCUCUGGUCCGGCUGACUUCGACAUAACGAGAGUCGACGGUAUUUUAAAUUAAUUUUUUAAGUGUGAUUAUGGCAAUAACUGUUAAUGAAUUUACUUAAGAGAAUUUAAAAGCCCCCCCCCACAGUUCUAUAACAUUGUAUAAUUAUGUGUCCCCCUUUACAAAUGGAGAAAUUGCUGAAUAUUUUGUUUCCAUUCUCUUUUACUUUAGUUUUCCUCCAUCAAAUUUUAUAAAACUUAUACACAAUGCUUUUUAUUACAUAACACAGAUCAAUUUGAAUUUUGGUAGCGCCCCCUUUA